rnacentral:rRNA from 1 species
UACGGAGGGUGCGAGCGUUGUCCGGAAUCAUUGGGCGUAAAGGGAGCGUAGGUGGCGGGGCAAGUCAGGUGUGAAAUCUCGGGGCUCAACCCCGAAACUGCACUUGAUACUGCCUUGCUAGAGUACUGGAGAGGAGAUUGGAAUUUACGGUGUAGCAGUGAAAUGCGUAGAUAUCGUAAGGAAGACCAGUGGCGAAGGCGAAUCUCUGGACAGUUACUGACACUGAGGCUUGAAGGCCGGGGGAGCAAACGGG